rnacentral:rRNA from 1 species
UACGUAGGUGGCAAGCGUUGUCCGGAAUUAUUGGGCGUAAAGCGCGCGCAGGUGGUUUCUUAAGUCUGAUGUGAAAGCCCACGGCUCAACCGUGGAGGGUCAUUGGAAACUGGGGAACUUGAGUGCAGAAGAGGAAAGUGGAAUUCCAAGUGUAGCGGUGAAAUGCGUAGAGAUUUGGAGGAACACCAGUGGCGAAGGCGGGUCUCUGGGCAUCUCCUGACGCUGAGGCGCGAAAGCGUGGGGAGCAAACGGG